GAUGAACGCUGGCGGCGUGCCUAAUACAUGCAAGUCGAGCGAACAGACGAGGAGCUUGCUCCUCUGACGUUAGCGGCGGACGGGUGAGUAACACGUGGAUAACUUACCUAUAAGACUGGGAUAACUUCGGGAAACCGGAGCUAAUACCGGAUAAUAUAUUAAACCGCAUGGUUCAAUAGUGAAAGACGGUUUUGCUGUCACUUAUAGAUGGAUCCGCGCCGCAUUAGCUAGUUGGUAAGGUAACGGCUUACCAAGGCAACGAUGCGUAGCCGACCUGAGAGGGUGAUCGGCCACACUGGAACUGAGACACGGUCCAGACUCCUACGGGAGGCAGCAGUAGGGAAUCUUCCGCAAUGGGCGAAAGCCUGACGGGGCAACGCCGCGUGAGUGAUGAAGGUCUUCGGAUCGUAAAACUCUGUUAUUAGGGAAGAACAAAUGUGUAAGUAACUAUGCACGUCUUGACGGUACCUAAUCAGAAAGCCACGGCUAACUACGUG
rnacentral:rRNA from 1 species